GGGGAUUUGGCUCAGUGGUAGAGCGCUUGCCUAACAAGUGCAAGGCCCUGGGUUCGGUCCCCAGCUCCG
rnacentral:tRNA from 1 species